rnacentral:rRNA from 1 species
UACGUAGGGGCGAGCGUUGUCCGGAAUUAUUGGGCGUAAAGAGCUUGUAGGCGGUCUGUCGCGUCUGCUGUGAAAAUCCGGGGCUCAACCCCGGACUUGCAGUGGGUACGGGCAGACUAGAGUGUGGUAGGGGAGACGUGGAAUUCCUGGUGUAGCGGUGAAAUGCGCAGAUAUCAGGAGGAACACCGAUGGCGAAGGCAGGUCUCUGGGCCACUACUGACGCUGAGAAGCGAAAGCAUGGGGAGCGAACAGG